GAAGGAAGAGGUGAGGCCAAAAAAAAAAAAGUGAUAAUGACAGGGAUCAAGUAGCACCAGCAGACAUGCAGCCGAUGGCUCUGAGAGCUCUGCUAUUUCAAAGAACUUCCAGUCCAGAAGAAGCAAUUCGCACGAGCAAAAGCCUCCAGGUAGCCAUUUGGACGCUUAGUGAGGGAAGAGAUGCCUUGAGGAAAAGCGGCAGGGCAUUCCUCGGGCACUUACUCCUGCUUGUGGACGAGUUCCCAGAGCAGUUUCUCCAGUCUCCUAUAUUUCCCCCUUCACUUUAUUUUCGAAUCCGGAGAGUCUGAGCGUUUUCGCCGGGGGUGGAUAGGAGUUGGAAGAAGUUGCCUGUAUUUAAGGUAUAGGAAGAAUUACCUCAAACUAUUAUCUUCAGAAACUUUAAAACUUACCCAAGGCGAAGAAACUGAGGAAGGAAGGACAAACUUCCGCAGCGGUGUGGAGAGAACAACUGCGCACUGGGGAGGGGACGAUGGGGAACCGAGGAUUAUCGAAUUCCUUUUCCAAAAGCUGGAGACAAGGAGUUUCCUCGAGUUCCCCUCUCCUCAAGAACAAGGCUGCAAAGCCCUUCAGCAGGGCUGCAGAAGUGGCGCGGAGGCCCAGGCGGCGGCGUCUAAGCUCGGGCAGCCAGCAAACUGCAUUCCAAACGCUCGCGGGGCGCUCUGGAGCGCUCAGCUCCGUCCCUUCUCCUCCAGGAGGAGCUGCCGCCGCCCCUGCUGCCGUUUCCAGCCCUUAGGCGGGCACAGGCAAAAUCCAGCGCUCCUCAGCAUUUUUUUUUUUUUACCUCUGCCGGGACGCCUGCCGACCCAUUAUUUGUACAUCCAAAUCAAGCGCAGGUCCCCCUUUCUUCUCGGCCUCGCCGGCGUCGGGCAGGAGCAGCGCGCUGUCCCCGCGUCCCCUCCCCUCACCAUGCCAGGGGACUCCUCCGGCAGUCCCAGUCAGAAGCCCACUCUAGUGCGCCUCGCCCCUGACCUCUUGCCCUUUGGUUUUAAUCCACAAGGCUUUUUGUUUGGGGCGGGGUAG
rnacentral:lncRNA from 1 species